rnacentral:rRNA from 1 species
UUUCGGAGCUAACGCGUUAAGUAGACCGCCUGGGGAGUACGGUCGCAAGAUUAAAACUCAAAUGAAUUGACGGGGGCCCGCACAAGCGGUGGAGCAUGUGGUUUAAUUCGAUGCAACGCGAAGAACCUUACCUACUCUUGACAUCCAGAGAAGCCAGCGGAGACGCAGGUGUGCCUUCGGGAGCUCUGAGACAGGUGCUGCAUGGCUGUCGUCAGCUCGUGUCGUGA